UGGGUCAGGAUCGAACCCAGGGCCUCCUGCAUAGCAGACGAGGGAGUUAACAUCUCUCCACCGUGAUGCGCCAUCACCCAGUGGGAUCGGCAUUCGUGUGGAAUUGUGUGGAGGUGGGCUGCGCAGAGCCUGGAGCGACUUUCUAAAGGUUUAUAUUUAACAACACACGAGGGUGAUGUGGAUUGCACGUACACAAGCUCUCUCAGCCUUACGCGUUAUGCGAAUCCACCAGUUGAUUAAAACUACUGUAUAUUGUGGUAAUUUUGUCUCAACAUAGAAAUACAUUGGAAACUGGGGUUGUUUGAUUAUAAUCAGUCGGUUUAACAUUUUUUUCACGCAGAUGUUGAGAACAGGCCCAAAGGCCCAACAAAAAAUUAACAGCCGGCAACAAACAGCACAAUCAAAGUUGGAAAAGCCGGAAUGCUGCGAGCGAAACACACUCGUGAAGCAACAAAGACUCCUUCACCUACUCAUCUUUCUUUGCCACAUGACGAGCCUUGGGAAAACACACAAGCCACGCGCAUUAUCGCGGGAUGAGCUCAGGACGUUACCCCCGUGUGCUGGGAGCUUCAGGUCCAGAAUAAGUUCCCGACGGAGCUGCCAGCACGUGCAGCGACAAACGUCGGGACAUCUCGCCUAACAACGAACGCUGCCUUUCAUCUGAGCGUCGGAGACAACUUUUAAGGGUGGGAGAAACGAACACGGACGGAGGGUUUGAGACAAACCAGGAACGACACCUGGGAGUCCUCGCGUUCCACUGCGGCCUCGUUUGAAGAUUAGCAUCGGCACCGCGCACAAUGAGUCACCGCCCAUGAUUCGGAGGAGUUCGGCGAUAAGCACGCGCGGUGAAUGUGCUGGUUGUUUUUUUUUUGGUCACGUUCGAAGUAAAAUUUACAACGG